rnacentral:rRNA from 1 species
GAUGAACGCUGGCGGCGUGCCUAAUACAUGCAAGUCGAACGAAGGUAGCAAUACCUUAGUGGCGAACGGGUGAGUAACACGUAGGUAACCUGCCUUUCAGUUGGGGAUAACCGAGGGAAACUUUGGCUAAUACCGAAUUCGUGCUUCGAAGGCAUCUUUGGAGCAUAAAAGGGGCCUUUAAAGCCUCGCUGAUUGAUGGACCUGCGGCGCAUUAGUUAGUUGGUGAGAUAACAGCCCACCAAGACGAGGAUGCGUAGCCGACCUGAGAGGGUGAUCGGCCACACUGGAACUGAGACACGGUCCAGACUCCUACGGGAGGCAGCAGUAGGGAGUUUUCGGCAAUGGGGGAAACCCUGACCGAGCAACGCCGCGUGAGUGAUGAAGGUCUUCGGAUUGUAAAGCUCUGUUAUAAGGGAAGAACGGCAGCUAGAGGAAAUGCUAGCUGUUUGACGGUACUUUAUGAGAAAGCCACGGCUAAACUACGUGCCAGCAGCCGCGGUAAAACGUAG